GCCUCUUUCCCAGUUGGUUACAGCAUGGUGCUGAGAACGCCAAAGUUGCAGGUUCAAUCCCUGUAUAGGGCA